rnacentral:rRNA from 1 species
UACGAAGGGGGCUAGCGUUGUUCGGAUUUACUGGGCGUAAAGCGCACGUAGGCGGAUCGUUAAGUCGGGGGUGAAAUCCUGGAGCUCAACUCCAGAACUGCCUUUGAUACUGAAGAUCUUGAGUCCGGGAGAGGUGAGUGGAACUGCGAGUGUAGAGGUGAAAUUCGUAGAUAUUCGCAAGAACACCAGUGGCGAAGGCGGCUCACUGGCCCGGUACUGACGCUGAGGCACGAAAGCGUGGGGGAGCAAACAGG